UACGUAGGCGGAAAAUUAAGUCAGUAGUGAAAUCCUGCAGCUUAACUGUAGAACUGUUAUUGAUACUGGUUUUCUUGAAUAUAGUUGAGGUAGGCGGAAUGUCUAAUGUAGCGGUGAAAUGCUUAGAUAUUACACAGAACACCGAUUGCGAAGGCAGCUUACUAAGCUAUGAUUGACGCUGAGGUACGAAAGCGUGGGGAGCGAACAGGAUUAGAUACCCUGGUAGUCC
rnacentral:rRNA from 1 species